CCUUGAAGAUCGGAGUGCUUGCACUCUGUGAAACAAGAUACAGGCCAGCGGCGGACGGGUGAGUAACACGUGGGUAACCUGCCCAAGAGAUCGGGAUAACACCUGGAAACAGAUGCUAAUACCGGAUAACAACAGAUGAUGCCUAUCAACUGUUUAAAAGAUGGUUCUGCUAUCACUCUUGGAUGGACCUGCGGUGCAUUAGCUAGUUGGUAGGGUAACGGCCUACCAAGGCGAUGAUGCAUAGCCGAGUUGAGAGACUGAUCGGCCACAUUGGGACUGAGACACGGCCCAAACUCCUACGGGAGGCAGCAGUAGGGAAUCUUCCACAAUGGACGCAAGUCUGAUGGAGCAACGCCGCGUGAGUGAAGAAGGGUUUCGGCUCGUAAAGCUCUGUUGUUGGUGAAGAAGGACAGGGGUAGUAACUGACCUUUGUUUGACGGUAAUCAAUUAGAAAGUCACGGCUAACUACGUGCCAGCAGCCGCGGUAAUACGUAGGUGGCAAGCGUUGUCCGGAUUUAUUGGGCGUAAAGCGAGUGCAGGCGGCUCGAUAAGUCUGAUGUGAAAGCCUUCGGCUCAACCGGAGAAUUGCAUCAGAAACUGUCGAGCUUGAGUACAGAAGAGGAGAGUGGAACUCCAUGUGUGGCGGUGAAAUGCGUAGAUAUAUGGAAGAACACCGGUGGCGAAGGCGGCUCUCUGGUCUGUUACUGACGCUGAGGCUCGAAAGCAUGGGUAGCGAACAGGAUUAGAUACCCUGGUAGUCCAUGCCGUANACGAUGAGUGCUAAGUGUUGGGAGGUUUCCGCCUCUCAGUGCUGCAGCUAACGCAUUAAGCACUCCGCCUGGGGAGUACGACCGCAAGGUUGAAACUCAAAGGAAUUGACGGGGGCC
rnacentral:rRNA from 1 species